CGAGAAGACCCUGUGGAGCUUUAGGCCAAGGACCAAUCAUGUUAAGAGACUACAAAACCAAAAAGAACAAGAAAGUCAACAAACCAAAUGCAACCUCGUCCAAGUGCCUUCGGUUGGGGCGACCUAGG
rnacentral:rRNA from 1 species